ensembl:lncRNA
CCUGAAUAUUCAUUGGAAAGACUGAUGCUGAUGCUGAAACUUCAAUACUUUGGCAACCUGAUGCGAAGAAUUGACUCAUUGGAAAAGACCCUGAUGCUGGUCUCUCCUAGGUGUCUUGUGCCUUUGACGAAGCAGUCACCUCCUCUUGCAGACAUUAUGGAUUGACUCUGGUUUGAUGUUCGACUGCAUCGCUGAAGUUUAAGUGGACUCCAGAGCUGUUUAUGUUCAUGGAUAGACAGCUACAUGUUGAUUUCUGUGGAAAAUGGUGACUGGGGAUCCUGCACUGCACUUUGGUGGCAUCGCCUCCAGUCCUGCACCUCAGAAACAGUCAGAAGAG